rnacentral:tRNA from 1 species
UCUUCCGUAGUAUAGUGGUCAGUAUGCAAGCUUGUCACGCUUGAGUCCCGGGUUCAAUUCCCGGCGGGAGAG